GGUUUAAUUCAACCACUUCUAUAUGCACAUAUAUAUUAUGACAUAUAUUUUGGGAUUAAAUGAGACAUAAAAAUAACUAAAAUCUUGACAAAUGGUAACACCGCAUGUUAUGUGCAGCACUACGUUACAGGGCAGGCAGUCACACACAGCUGGCGGAACAAUCACACCUACCCCAACGCCAACCCGAGUCGUACGUGCAUGUCGCGCGUCAACGCUCAACGGAUGUAGUAGUGCGAGUUGCACCGCAGCACGGCGCCGGCCACCGCGGCCGGCACGACCGCUGCUGGUGCAGGUCUCCCCGCGUGCACCAACGUCUCCCCGGUCCCGGUCUCGACCACCCUCCUUGCCUUCGCGGGCUCCGCUGCCGCGGCGUCGGCGAUGAGGCCCUUCAUCAUGUCCGCGUAGUAGUUCCUGAGGCGCGCGAGCAGACGCCGGGACCGCAGCAGCAGCGCCCGCAGCCGGAGCCGCGGCAGGACGAUCCUCCCGAGGGCGAACGUCCUGCCGCCGCGCCGCAGGGCGGCGCCGUCGCACGCGUCGCCGAGGCGCGCCACGGCCAUCCGCCUCCUCCUCCUCUGCCGGCCGGACACGCGGAACAGCAUGACGCCUCUGUGGCCUCAGGGAGAAAAUGGUCAGAGAGGGAACGAACGAUCGAUCAGUGGCUGCCGCGCGGCCGCGCCUGCAUGCUGCUUGAGGCCGAAUGCAGAAUGCAGAAUGCAGAUACGGAUGAGGAUUUGCCACUCGCUGUGCAAGGCGGGCCCGAUAAAACA
rnacentral:misc_RNA from 1 species